GCUAAUUUCAACAGCACAUGUGCUAACAAUGAAAUGAUACAGAGAAGAUUAGCAAGGCUCCUAUGCAAUGAUGACAUGAAGAUUUGGGAAGAGUUUACAUAUUUUU